CACUGCAGAUGGCAAGAACUUUGGAUGCAGCUUGAAAUAGAAAAGCUCACCCAACGUUCAUGACAGACUGACAGCCAAUUAUCAGCAUCUCUUUUCUUCACAGAGUUCCUUUUUUGUACAUCUUCCAUUCCGAUUCGGGACUUAAAAAGGAGGCCAUUUUUCCAGACAGUGAUUUCUUCCAAUAUCUCAUCUCCCGGUGCCUUUUUCAUGCGUGUGUUCAUUUUUUUUUAACACCGAGGCAGGAUCUCCCAUGGGGUUACAGUCUUGCAAGCCUUACAACUGCUGCCUACAAAGCAAAGAGGAAUGCAGAGCGGCUGAUGUCUGCCCCUAUGUUUGUGAGGAUUGGAGAUAUUGCUCUGACCGCUGUUGUGACGUCUGCUGCCAGAUGUGCGUGGACCUGUGCUCUGGCUUGUGUUCAGGAGACUGCAGCUAUACGUUUUGCACAAUCUGUCUCGCUCUGGUGCAGAACUGCCUUUUACGUUUCACCGCCCGACAAAGUGAAACAUCAGAGGCACGGACUGCAACCCCAGAACAGCUUGCAUAGCUGAGCGUCGGAGACAAAAGCAUGACCAGAAGCCUUGAAAUAUCUCACAGACUGGCGACCUGUCCAGGGUGAACCCCGCCUCUCGC